rnacentral:rRNA from 1 species
CAGGCUUAACACAUGCAAGUCGAGGGGCAGCAUGAACUUAGCUUGCUAAGUUUGAUGGCGACCGGCGCACGGGUGAGUAACACGUAUCCAACCUGCCGAUGACUCGGGGAUAGCCUUUCGAAAGAAAGAUUAAUACCCGAUGGCAUAGUUCUUCCGCACGGUGGAACUAUUAAAGAAUUUCGGUCAUCGAUGGGGAUGCGUUCCAUUAGGUUGUUGGCGGGGUAACGGCCCACCAAGCCUUCGAUGGAUAGGGGUUCUGAGAGGAAGGUCCCCCACAUUGGAACUGAGACACGGUCCAAACUCCUACGGGAGGCAGCAGUGAGGAAUAUUGGUCAAUGGACGAGAGUCUGAACCAGCCAAGUAGCGUGAAGGAUGACUGCCCUAUGGGUUGUAAACUUCUUUUAUACGGGAAUAAAGUGAGGCACGUGUGCCUUUUUGUAUGUACCGUAUGAAUAAGGAUCGGCUAACUCCGUGCCAGCAGCCGCGGUAAUACGGAGGAUCCGAGCGUUAUCCGGAUUUAUUGGGUUUAAAGGGAGCGUAGGCGGACGCUUAAGUCAGUUGUGAAAGUUUGCGGCUCAACCGUAAAAUUGCAGUUGAUACUGGGUGUCUUGAGUACAGUAGAGGCAGGCGGAAUUCGUGGUGUAGCGGUGAAAUGCUUAGAUAUCACGAAGAACUCCGAUUGCGAAGGCAGCUUGCUGGACUGUAACUGACGCUGAUGCUCGAAAGUGUGGGUAUCAAACAGGAUUAGAUACCCUGGUAGUCCACACAGUAAACGAUGAAUACUCGCUGUUUGCGAUAUACAGUAAGCGGCCAAGCGAAAGCGUUAAGCAUUCCACCUGGGGAGUACGCCGGCAACGGUGAAACUCAAAGGAAUUGACGGGGGCCCGCACAAGCGGAGGAACAUGUGGUUUAAUUCGAUGAUACGCGAGGAACCUUACCCGGGCUUGAAUUGCAACUGAAUGAUGUGGAGACAUGUCAGCCGCAAGGCAGUUGUGAAGGUGCUGCAUGGUUGUCGUCAGCUCGUGCCGUGAGGCGUCGGCUUAAGUGCCAUAACGAGCGCAACCCUUAUCGAUAGUUACCAUCAGGUUAUGCUGGGGACUCUGUCGAGACUGCCGUCGUAAGAUGUGAGGAAGGUGGGGAUGACGUCAAAUCAGCACGGCCCUUACGUCCGGGGCUACACACGUGUUACAAUGGGGGGUACAGAAGGCAGCUACACGGCGACGUGAUGCUAAUCCCGAAAGCCUCUCUCAGUUCGGAUUGGAGUCUGCAACCCGACUCCAUGAAGCUGGAUUCGCUAGUAAUCGCGCAUCAGCCACGGCGCGGUGAAUACGUUCCCGGGCCUUGUACACACCGCCCGUCAAGCCAUGAAAGCCGGGGGUACCUGAAGUGCGUAACCGCAAGGAGCGCCCUAGGGUAAAACUGGUGAUUGG